AGAGUUUGAUCCUGGCUCAGGACGAACGCUGGCGGCGUGCUUAACACAUGCAAGUCGAACGGAAAGGCCCUGCUUGCAGGGUGCUCGAGUGGCGAACGGGUGAGUAACACGUGGGUGAUCUGCCCUGCACUUCGGGAUAAGCUUGGGAAACUGGGUCUAAUACCGGAUAGGCCACAUGCUGCAUGGUGUGUGGUGGAAAGUUUUUAACGGUGUGGGAUGGGCCCGCGCCUAUCAGCUUGUUGGUGGGGUGAUGGCCUCCAAGGCGACGACGGGUAGCCGGCCUGAGAGGGUGUCCGGCCACACUGGGACUGAGAUACGGCCCAGACUCCUACGGGAGGCAGCAGUGGGGAAUAUUGCACAAUGGGCGCAAGCCUGAUGCAGCGACGCCGCGUGGGGGAUGACGGCCUUCGGGUUGUAACCUCUUUCACCAUCGACGAAGGCCUGCUUUUGGGUGGGUUGACGGUAGGUGGAGAAGAAGCACCGGCCAACUACGUGCCAGCAGCCGCGGUAAUACGUAGGGUGCGAGCGUUGUCCGGAAUUACUGGGCGUAAAGAGCUCGUAGGUGGUUUGUCGCGUUGUUCGUGAAAUUCCCUGGCUUAACUGGGGGCGUGCGGGCGAUACGGGCAGACUGGAGUACUGCGGGGGAGACUGGAAUUCCUGGUGUAGCGGUGGAAUGCGCAGAUAUCAGGAGGAACACCGGUGGCGAAGGCGGGUCUCUGGGCAGUAACUGACGCUGAGGAGCGAAAGCGUGGGGAGCGAACAGGAUUAGAUACCCUAGUAGUCC
rnacentral:rRNA from 1 species